rnacentral:lncRNA from 1 species
CGGCCCGCAACUCGGCGCGGGGGGAGCCAGAGCGCCGGGCUUGGGGGCGGGGAGCAGGCGGUGCAGGAGAGCGCCCCGAGUCCCGGCGCGGGAGGAGGAGCGGGAGCCAGCCCUGGAGACGGCGCUCCUGGCCGCACCUGCGCCUGGCAGGCGGCCGGCUCUGCCCAGCCCCUACCCACGGCCCCGGCCCCGCACCGGGACACAUGGAAGCUGCCAGCCCCCCAGCCAAGGAUCAGCUGAGUCCUAGGGCUGAUGCUUGCCUACGUUGCUGAGAAUGGCACUGAGGCCCAGCCAACAAAGGUUAACCCAGGACACUCCUGGACAGUGAUCCUGAUGUCUGUUGUGAGCUGCACACUCAAGGGUGUGAUAAGUGAGUAUGUUACAAGCACCCAGGGGAUCACCAGCCCAGCGAUCCUGCCUGCUCGGCACCUCAUCAGCAUGGGCACGAGUCUGGAGGUUUUAGUUCUGAGUCUGUUCCCCAUCCAAGGUCCUGUCACAGGGCAAUGGGAGGGGAAUGUCAAGCAAUAUUGGGCCAUCACAUGCGGGAGCCGUCUUAUGGCCACAUGGCCUCUAAAAACCAGGCCAGACCCAGUGUAUUAGUUUGUUUUCAUGCUGCUGAUAAAGACAUACGUAAGA